GCCUUCGUGGUGUAACGGUUAGCACACUCGGCUCAUACUCGAGAGGUCCAGGUUCGAGUUCCGGCUAGGGCA
rnacentral:tRNA from 1 species